AACACGGGGCUUCCUGUACUGGACCCCGGGGAAGGGAAAUGGCUCUGUGAGAAACAAGUGCAGAGUCUCGAUCCCUUAGCAAGAAUGUCCUGCGCCAGCCUGCCCAGGUUUGAGUCCUGGCUCUGCCACUUGAUGCCCUAACACAGGGCAAGGCACCCUCCAGGAAGCUCGGGUUCUUCAUCUGUGUUCUGGGGGUAAUGAUUUCCACUUCUCAGGGGCGUCCCAAGAACUGAUGAAGGUCUGUAAGGUCUGAGGUUUCCCUCUCAAGAUACUGCGGUCCAGAUGUUUGAACAGCCACCUCCUUUACAUACAUGAGAACACGUGCAAGUAAUUUCUGCCAGCGCUAAUUGCAAGAGCAAAAGGAGUCCCCAGCGCCUAAUUGGAGGGUGUAAAUGGGGACGGCAUAUGAAAAGCCUGACGUGUUGCCAGUGGAAUCUAUGCUGGAGGUACCCGAGACCGAGGACUUCAAUCCCUCCAGGCCUGCCCCGCCUGCCGGAUAUUCCACUAAGCCAAGGAAAAAAACAACCCUUGUGUCCUGAGGGCAGACUUUAUGGCUGGCUUCCAUGACAUUAGAAAUGAUUCUGAGAUUGUGACAACGGCAGGAGUUAGAGCUGCUAUGCAGGUCAUGGGGAAAACCCAGAAGGCUGGUGGCAGAAAACUAGAUGGAGUGACAUAUAGAUGGGACAGAAGACAAGA